rnacentral:tRNA from 1 species
AGCAGAGUAGCUCAGUGGAAAGAGUCCGAGGUCAUGGGUUCGAAUCCCAGCUCUGCCA